rnacentral:rRNA from 1 species
AUUGAACGCUGGCGGCAUGCCUUACACAUGCAAGUCGAACGGCAGCACGGGUGCUUGCACCUGGUGGCGAGUGGCGAACGGGUGAGUAAUACAUCGGAACAUGUCCUGUAGUGGGGGAUAGCCCGGCGAAAGCCGGAUUAAUACCGCAUACGAUCUACGGAUGAAAGCGGGGGACCUUCGGGCCUCGCGCUAUAGAGUUGGCCGAUGGCUGAUUAGCUAGUUGGUGGGGUAAAGGCCUACCAAGGCGACGAUCAGUAGCUGGUCUGAGAGGACGACCAGCCACACUGGGACUGAGACACGGCCCAGACUCCUACGGGAGGCAGCAGUGGGGAAUUUUGGACAAUGGGCGAAAGCCUGAUCCAGCAAUGCCGCGUGUGUGAAGAAGGCCUUCGGGUUGUAAAGCACUUUUGUCCGGAAAGAAAUCCUUGGCCCUAAUACGGUCGGGGGAUGACGGUACCGGAAGAAUAAGCACCGGCUAAUUACGUG